rnacentral:lncRNA from 1 species
AAUAAAUAAAAAAUGAAAUAUAGGGGAGUCCCUGGAGUUACCCCACCCCCUCCUGUUUGAGAACUUGGAAACGGGUCGAGAUCCACACUCCUUAACCAAAUAUAUUCAUGUUAGUGACAAUAUGAAAAAUCAAAUGAAAUAUAGGAAGAGUUGCUAGGGGUCACCCCACCCCUCUUGUUUUAGAAUUUAAAAAUGGUCGAGAUCCCCACCCCUAAACCAUAUAUAUUCAUGUAUGGGACAAUAUAACAAAUCAGAUGAAAUAUAGGGGGAGUCUCUUGGGUCACCCCCCCCUCCUGUUUGAGAAUUUGAAACCCAUUGAGAUCGCCACCCCUUAACCAUAUAUAUUCAUAUA